UGUAGUUCCUGUAUUCCAGUGCACAUAUCGAGCAACAAAAAAGUCCACUAGGGCUCAAGGCAUAAAAAAAAAACCUUGCCAAACCACAAGUUGCUACUGAAUCGUAUAAGAAGUCUAUAUUGAAAGCUAACUGCAGCAGGUUGAUUGAAGUUUUUCACUAACCAAAUAGCGCUAAGAAAUUUGCAUGGAAACAAACAAUCAUGCAAUCUUUUUGAACUUUAUGUAUUUUUAGAACUCACAGCUAUGGUGAAAAGUACACUUGGUUCAAGAGUCAUAGAACAAAUUCUUGAGAGUAUUGAAGGUGAAAUCAUCUCUUAUAUUUGAACUUUUAAAACUUGGACGCUUUGAUCUAUUUGAAGAGAUCAUGUGAUUGAUGAAGACAAAUUGUUUCAAUUC